rnacentral:rRNA from 1 species
CGGCCCAGACUCCUACGGGAGGCAGCAGUAGGGAAUCAUCCGCAAUGGGCGAAAGCCUGACGGUGCAACGCCGCGUGAGUGAAGAAGGUUUUCGGAUCGUAAAGCUCUGUUAUCCGAGAAGAACAAGGACCGGUCAAACAGGCCGGUUCCAUGACGGUACCGGAUCAGAAAGCCCCGGCUAACUACGUGCCAGCAGCCGCGGUAAUACGUAGGGGGCAAGCGUUGUCCGGAAUUAUUGGGCGUAAAGGGCGCGCAGGCGGUUUCCUAAGUCUGAUGUGAAAGGCCACGGCUCAACCGUGGAAUGGCAUUGGAAACUGGGGGACUUGAGUACAGGAGAGGAGAGCGGAAUUCCACGUGUAGCGGUGAAAUGCGUAGAGAUGUGGAGGAACACCAGUGGCGAAGGCGGCUCUCUGGCCUGUAACUGACGCUGAGGCGCGAAAGCGUGGGGAGCGAACAGGAUUAGAUACCCUGGUAGUCCACGCCGUAAACGUUGAGUGCUAGGUGUUAGGGGUUUCGAUGCCCUUAGUGCCGAAGCAAACGCAUUAAGCACUCCGCCUGGGGAGUACGACCGCAAGGUUGAAACUCAAAGGAAUUGACGGGGGCCCGCACAAGCGGUGGAGCAUGUGGUUUAAUUCGACGCAACGCGAAGAACCUUACCAGGUCUUGACAUCUUCUGACCGCUCCAGAGAUGGAGUUUUCCCCUUCGGGGGACAGAAUGACAGGUGGUGCAUGGUUGUCGUCAGCUCGUGUCGUGAGAUGUUGGGUUAAGUCCCGCAACGAGCGCAACCCCUAACCUUAGUUGCCAGCAUUCAGUUGGGCACUCUAGGGUGACUGCCGGUGACAAACCGGAGGAAGGCGGGGAUGACGUCAAAUCAUCAUGCCCCUUAUGACCUGGGCUACACACGUGCUACAAUGGAUGG